GUGGGGAAUAUUGGACAAUGGGCGCAAGCCUGAUCCAGCCAUACCGCGUGGGUGAAGAAGGCCUUCGGGUUGUAAAGCCCUUUUGUUGGGAAAGAAAUCCUGUCGAUUAAUACUCGGUGGGGAUGACGGUACCCAAAGAAUAAGCACCGGCUAACUUCGUGCCAGCAGCCGCGGUAAUACGAAGGGUGCAAGCGUUACUCGGAAUUACUGGGCGUAAAGCGUGCGUAGGUGGUGGUUUAAGUCUGCUGUGAAAGCCCUGGGCUCAACCUGGGAAUUGCAGUGGAUACUGGAUCACUAGAGUGUGGUAGAGGGAUGCGGAAUUUCUGGUGUAGCAGUGAAAUGCGUAGAGAUCAGAAGGAACAUCCGUGGCGAAGGCGGCAUCCUGGGCCAACACUGACACUGAGGCACGAAAGCGUGGGGAGCAAACAGGAUUAGAAACCCCGGUAGUCC
rnacentral:rRNA from 1 species